rnacentral:lncRNA from 1 species
CGGGAUGGAAAAAAUUUACGGGCGUAAAAGUGGAAAAAUGUUUGUCGCUAUUAAUCGCUAUUAAUCUAAAAUAUUCGAUUAGAUCGAAAGCACUCCGCCAUACUUUAUUUUACAUAUUUUUGCACAGUUCAGAUACAUAUUUCCAUUUAGCUUAACUUAAAUGUGGAACAACCCUUUCUGACUGCACUGCUAAUUUGCUCGAAUUUUCCAGUGCAGUUAACUAAUAACUAGUGAAUGAAUAUGUGCGACUAUGAAUUAUGUGCGACUAAUCACGUAAACUUAGGAUUCCAUAUAUUACUGAAAAUUUCCGAUGCUAUUGCAAUUUACAACGAUUUGCCGAUGUUUUAUAUAUGUACAUAAUCGGCUCGAUCUUAAAGUAAAAAAUAUGUAUUAAAAUCGAAGAGCAUCAAAAUCGCCUACAGUUAAUAACUAAAAUUCCAAACUUGGCAUUAAAGGUAAGGAUUCAGCAUAACUUCCGAUAAGAAAAAUAAUUCAGCCUAAUUUCUAUACAUAUUUGAAGCUUGCUUCAAUCAAAUGGGUUAACAGAUUUUCAAACUCAAUAAUUAUUUGCCCAUAUUUUGAAUGCAUAAAAUGAUGUGCGAAUACCUAUAUGUUCGGUAGUACCCAGGAUCGAAUAUCUGAUAUAGAACUGAAACAGUAUCCUAUAGGAAAAAUUCAUGUUUGGCAAUUUUUUAAGGUUUUAAUUGUUGUCUGUUGUCUAUUGUCUCAGUCUUCCUCUUGUCGUCUGCCAAUACUGCUAAAUUAAUCAAAAAAGGCCAUGUUAUUGACUUCAAAGUACUACUGUCCAACAGCUAGUAAAUCACGUUUUCUAUAGAUUUGGCUUCCUCAAUAACGGGAGUUCCCGCAAUGAGACUUUGCAUAGAUAUGAUGUUUCGUAAACGAAAUGUUAUUAUUAUAAAAAAAAAUGGUACCAAACAAAGCAACAAAUCUUUCUUAUCCCAUUACAGUGAUGAAGCUGCAACGAAAGCAACUGAUAUAAACUUCACAAACCUACAAACGCAAAAUAUAUCUGCAGACGAAGCAAAAACUCGUAACACGCAAAUUUUGAAGGAGUUGGAGUUUAUUAAAGGCAACCUCAGAUCGAAAUCAAUUUUCAGCCCCACUGAGCUGCAUUGGGAAAAAGUAUGUGAAAAAUAUCAGAACAAUCCCUCACUUUCCGUUACAACGUGGCAUUGUCAUGUUCCAGUUUUUGUCUAGAAUUUUCUAGAAAGUGACAAUAAAUGCUUCUAUUAGCUUGA